rnacentral:snoRNA from 1 species
CGUUGUUCUUGGCAUGCAUGCUGUUUCCCCAGUCUCGUGUGUGUGUGUGUGUUGAGGCACAAAAAGGUGCAGUGCUAUGUCUUCAGUGCCAGGAUGUUUCUUGUCUUCUGGUUCUAUUCUCAGUCGCUGGUACACUA